rnacentral:snRNA from 1 species
AAGAACGAUGCAGAGAAGAUGAGCAUGGCCCCUGGGCAAGGAUGACACACGCACACACAUCGAGAAGAAUACCAAGUCCAA